UACGUAGGGUGCGAGCGUUAAUCGGAAUUACUGGGCGUAAAGCGUGCGCAGGCGGUUGUGUAAGACAGGUGUGAAAUCCCCGGGCUUAACCUGGGAACUGCGCUUGUGACUGCACAGCUAGAGUAUGGCAGAGGGGGGUGGAAUUCCACGUGUAGCAGUGAAAUGCGUAGAGAUGUGGAGGAACACCGAUGGCGAAGGCAGCCCCCUGGGCCAAUACUGACGCUCAUGCACGAAAGCGUGGGGAGCAAACAGG
rnacentral:rRNA from 1 species